GAGAGAGACAUGCGCGCAUAUCAAUAAGCGGAGGAAAAGAAACUAACCAGGAUUCCCUCAGUAACGGCGAGUGAAGCGGGAAGAGCUCAAAUUUGAAAUCUUCAAGGUUCUACCUUGACGAAUUGUAGUUUAUAGAAGUGUUUUCUGUUAGUGGAGUGGCAAAAGUUCUUUGGAAUAGGACAUCAUAGAGGGUGAGAAUCCCGUAUUUGGUCAUUCCUCCUAGCGUUGUGAUACACUUUCAACGAGUCGGAUUGUUUGGGAAUGCAGUCCAAAAUGGGUGGUAAAUUUCAUCUAAAGCUAAAUAUUGGCGAGAGACCGAUAGCGAACAAGUACCGUGAGGGAAAGAUGAAAAGAACUUUGAAAAGAGAGUUAAACAGUACGUGAAAUUGUCAAAAGGGAAGCGUUUGACACCAGUGUUGUUUUUCCGAAAAUCAAUUACGAAUGUUUUGUUUUUGAGGAGUUAUGACUUCAUCGGCUUGCUCCUUUCUUUACGAAACUUUCUUAAUGCACUUUUCGGUUAACAAGUCAACAUCAAUUUCUUUUGUUGUAAAAGGGUACGAGGAAGGUGGCUUUCUUUUCGGAGAAAGUGUUUAUAGCCUUGUGCCUCUGCAAUCGGAGAGAUUGAGGUCUGCAGCGUAGAUCCUUCGGGGUUAGAUACAUUUGUGCUAAGCUUAUAGCCUUUUCAUAGACAACUUGUUGACUAUGUCUCAGUCUGUAGCUUACUCGCUGAUGCUAUUUUACCUACGCUUAGGAUGUUGAUCUGUAGUGCGUGCGC
rnacentral:rRNA from 1 species